rnacentral:tRNA from 1 species
UUUACUUUGGCAGAAAAAUGCUUUAAAUUUAGAAUUUAAAUAUAUAUAAUAUAUAUUAUUUUAUUUAAUAUUUAUAUAAGUAAAA